ACUCCGGGUCUUCAUGAUGCUUGCAGACUUUUGCAGAAUCCAUUGUAGUGCCUUUCCGCAGGUGCUUGCACUUCCGACACCGGCGCCCAUGGUUGCUUCUUUGACGGCCACGCGCUUGGGAGAAUCAGCGGACAUUGCCUCUUUUGGCAGCUGAUCUGUGCGGAAGACAUAGUCAGAUGGGGAGUUUGGCUAGGGCGGCACAUCUGUUAAACGACAACGCAGGUGUCAUAAGGUAGGCUCAAUAUGAGAAAAUCUCAUGUGGACCAGAAGGGGAACUCCAUGGGACAGGUCGGGCAGUCUCAAGAAGCCAACUCUCUCGCUUGCUAGGCUUUGCUGGGUUUAAACGAGCAGU
rnacentral:ncRNA from 1 species